AGCGUAUAAAUAAUAGUAGAAAUGAAGAUUAGGACACGACUGUUUAGGCGGCUAUGGAAAGCAGAAAUAUAGUUUAAAAAAAGAAAAAAGAAGCAGUUACUAAUGCUAUUGCUAAUCUUUCUUUAAUUUCUAUUGUAAUAAUUGACACCUGAAAUUGAAGUAGUAGUUGAUCUGAAUGGAAGAUGAAGAAUACAACUUUCUAUGAUAGCGGUGGUUGCGGAGCCCGAGCUAGAGAGAGAGAGAGAAACAGGGGAAGGGAACAUACUAAUAGCAAACAUGUCUUGUGAUCACAAUUGAUGAUCAAACCUGCAGCUGUGGUUAUGGGGACCCGAGGCACAAGCUUGAUUCAAAGGUUUGAUUUGAGAAAUUGACCCUCCACCUAAAUCCUGCUGUUAUCAUGUUACUGAAGCAUCUUCUUGUGAUUUUCUUCGGUGUGCUACAGGGAAGUAUUGCUUUCACCACUGUUGUUAUUGUUCCAGGAAAAGAUGAUGGAGAUGCGUCAAUCGUCUAGUGGAAUUGUGUUGUAAAAGACACUGUUUUAUCGUGUAUCUAACUUCAAAUACUAGUGUCAAGAUUGUUUCUAAUUGAUUAGAACAGGAAAAAAAGAGCAUCAUAUGCUGUGGUUUGUCUUGUGAUUUUACAUAUUCAUUUCUGCAGAGUAACAAUUGAUUGGUUGCCUAUGUUCCCAUUUUUAAAAAUCUAAUUGUAACUAUUAACUCCACCACCAUGGCUUCUGUCUCAGUUUGCUUUUACGAGUAUAUUUUCCAUUGGUAUAAAGGAGUCAAGGAGAUGACAUCUCCAAUCUUAUUCGACUAGGCUUUUACGAGCAUAUUGAAGGCCUUUAUCCAACCGUCUGGAAUUGUUUGUAUACCUAGACAUAGAGCUCAACAUAAAAAAAAUUAAUGUAUCAUGUUAACUAACAUAUAUAGUUACAGUUAUUAUUUAUUAUAACU